CUUGCAGGCAGAAAAUCCACAAUGAUGCUGACUGGCUUGCAAUCAACCUGGGGCCAUUCUCCGAAUACACAACCUAUUCUGAUCUCAAAGUCUUCAACAUCUCAGGGGUGGCAAUUCUAGACUCCCUCUCACCAAACCAGAAAGCCGAGCUGAUACUGGACCCCACAAACCUGGCAAAUGAAUCUCUUGUGCAAGAGGUUUUCCUAGGGGUUCUGGGAUCUUCAGGUGUGGCGGAGAUUGGUCAAUUUUUCCAAUCAUUUGUGGAGGUUGCUUCAAAGAGAAACCUGACAGCUAUUGAGCCAGGACUGCGAGACACCCUCUUAAACCUGACACUGACGGCACUCGCCCCCAAAUUGCAGACACUAGAUACUCUGGGAUUCAAGCUUUGGUUCCAGGUCUAUCUCCCGUUAUUCCUCCCAAGCAUUCAUCCUGGGACCUUUUCCGUCAUCCCAAGGAAUAUCAGCUGUGACUCCUAUAGUGCAAUGUGAGUUUCAGCUCUCAGUGUUUGCAAUGAUUAUUGAGGCUGUGAUUUGGCAUGUGAUUGCCAGAUGCUGUGUAUUCUAAAUAUCUAUUCUACAUACUGCACAUUAGUACAUUUAAUAGGUUGUCUUUUAAUAAAACAUGUUUUUUUAUUUACACAGCAUCAAGGGGUGUGAUAAUGUGAUCACUAGGUUGUCGCUGAUCCAGUCCCAGCAAGUCUUCGUGUUCACCAAGGAUUAUUUGACAGGCCAAUCCAUUGAAGGAUUUUCCUGUGUGAAGACUGUGAGAGAUGACAGAGAUUGGCUCGGAAGCAACUUUGGACAAUUCCGGGUCUAUGCUUCAUAUGUGGACUUUGUGACCCUGAAGAGUGAUUUCAAUGGAGUGAAAGCAGCAGAUCUCCUCACUCCCAUCCAGCUGGCUCAGCUCGCGACGAUUCCCUCCCAACUUGAAGGGGCACAGGGUGUCAACAAGAUCAUGGCAGCCAUCAGUCCGGCUAACUUUGGAUUGUUCUUUGACAUACUCUCACCUGCCAUUCAGAAACACACGAAGAACUACACAGAAGAGGUGAAAUCAGCUUUCCUCCAGGUGGUGCUGGACAGCGGGAACCUGUCCUCCACCGCCAUCAACGACACACAGUUCCUCGUUUGGCUCAGGGUUCGGCUGAACCCCCUCUUGCUGAACCUCUCAUCCAAUCAAGUGACACCACUCUUCCGCAUCAUGAAGGAUAGGGGCUGCAACAGCAGCCAAGAAGCAAUCUCAUUAUUAGACACUCUGCGGUCUACACUGACUAAAGACACACAGAGGGAAAUCUACAGCAAUACCUUACUCCUCCUGAAAGAGCCAACGCCACUGCGAUGCUAUGUAAACGGAAGCUUCUACUCGUUUUUGAGAAGCACGUUCCUUGGCUUUGGAUUCCCCGACCUGUCAAUGCUUUUCACGCUCAUGCCAGACACACGCCAACCUGAGCUCCUGAAUUCCAUAACCUCCUCUGAGCUGAGUCAGUUCCUCAGUCAACCUGACGUGGUUGGCAACGGUUCCAACGUAUGUGCUGUCUUCAACAACUACGCCAAGACGCCUGUCUUCCUGGAAACAGAGGAUGUCCCCAAUGCUGUGAAGCAGCUGACCCUUCCCUGCGUCUGGUCUUUAGCUCUGAACAGCAGCAAUAGGUCAGAGGUGAAUGCCUGGUUUGACCUCAGACUGAAGAACUACUUGAGGUUCCUUACCAGGAGCCUCGUCAGCUCAUCUAAAGUGCAAAACGCCAGCUGUCUCGCAUUCCAGAAACUAGUCUCAGUCCUUGGAAGCGAUUUCAGCUACAACAGCUCUGACUUUGCACAGAGUGAUGUGUACAUCACCAUUAAGUCCUACCUGGGCACAGGUGGACCUAGGUGCUACAGCGCAAACGACCCAGAGCUGAACUCUACCGCCUGGUUUGUGAACUACAUCGGUGUUUUUGUGACCUACCUCUCUCUGGAGGACCUCAACACCUUUGUUACCGCGAGUCAGAUCAAUGUAUUCUUGGAGAACCAGGCCAAUAUCAAGCUCUUCAACAACACGGCUAUACCUGCUAACGUCACUUCCUACUACAUCACACAGCUAUACACACUGAACCCCACGUUCAACCCUCUGCAACUGCCCGGCUUCUUCCUGUGUGAGGUCCCAAGUACGGCCUACAACUCCCUGGGCCAGACAGCCAGUAUGGAAAUCCUGGACCGUCUGCAGCUGUUCUGCAAUGGAACUAAAGACCCCCAGGUAUCUGCUGCACUGGUGGCUAAUUUCCACACUAUCACGGAGAGCACCCUAGCAGCCAUUGGGAACAGCAGCAGUGGCCUGACGACCACCCAGAUAUCCUCCAUCUCUUCCUCGGCACUCGUGUCGUCCCUGGCCACACUCGGCUCCGUGACCGGCUGGAACCUGGGCCAAGCUAGUGCAGUCAUCCAGAGCAUCAUUACCGGAGGCUUCCCGAUCGACACUGCCUCCUCGUUGAUGUCGUUGGGCACACUCGUUGCGGGCGUUCCGUCAGCGGCGAUAGCGAGCAUCCCAGCCACUGAGCUGUUGACAGCGUCCCAGAGCUCUGUGUUUAUCACCAACAUGCUGGCUGCCCCACAGAUUGUACAGGAAACCUACGUCAACAAGAUAAUCACCAUCAACCAAAGCCCCAACGCGUUGGUUGUGAACGUACCUGAUGCCAUGGCCACACUGAUCCCCAGGGCUCUCCUGACCUUCUCUCAGGAACCUGUGGACGUACAGGCUAUUAACAGAAAGACAUGGAAGCAAGAACAGGUUAGUAGUGUCUUUUCAUCAUUUAUGAACAGGCCUUCCCGAUGA
rnacentral:lncRNA from 13 species